rnacentral:rRNA from 1 species
UGGAGGGCAAGUCUGGUGCCAGCAGCCGCGGUAAUUCCAGCUCCAAUAGCGUAUAUUAAAGUUGUUGCAGUUAAAAAGCUCGUAGUUGAAUUUCGGGAUCAGUAAGUUGGUCGUGCCUUUGGUAUGUACUGGUUUUACUGGUUCCUCCUUUCUGAAGAACCGUAAUGCCAUUAAUUUGGUG